rnacentral:rRNA from 1 species
CACGUGGGGAACCUGCCCCAUAGUCUGGGAUACCACUUGGAAACAGGUGCUAAUACCGGAUAAGAAAGCAGAUCGCAUGAUCAGCUUUUAAAAGGCGGCGUAAGCUGUCGCUAUGGGAUGGCCCCGCGGUGCAUUAGCUAGUUGGUAAGGUAAAGGCUUACCAAGGCGAUGAUGCAUAGCCGAGUUGAGAGACUGAUCGGCCACAUUGGGACUGAGACACGGCCCAAACUCCUACGGGAGGCAGCAGCG